rnacentral:rRNA from 1 species
UAGGGAAUCUUCGGCAAUGGACGGAAGUCUGACCGAGCAACGCCGCGUGAGUGAAGAAGGUUUUCGGAUCGUAAAGCUCUGUUGUAAGAGAAGAACGAGUGUGAGAGUGGAAAGUUCACACUGUGACGGUAACUUACCAGAAAGGGACGGCUAACUACGUGCCAGCAGCCGCGGUAAUAUGUAGGUCCCGAGCGUUAUCCGGAUUUAUUGGGCGUAAAGCGAGCGCAGGCGGUUAGAUAAGUCUGAAGUUAAAGGCUGUGGCUUAACCAUAGUACGCUUUGGAAACUGUUUAACUUGAGUGCAGAAGGGGAGAGUGGAAUUCCAUGUGUAGCGGUGAAAUGCGUAGAUAUAUGGAGGAACACCGGUGGCGAAAGCGGCUCUCUGGUCUGUAACUGACGCUGAGGCUCGAAAGCGUGGGGAGCAAACAGGAUUAGAUACCCUGGUAGUCCACGCCGUAAACGAUGAGUGCUAGGUGUUGGGUCCUUUCCGGGACUCAGUGCCGCAGCUAACGCAUUAAGCACUCCGCCUGGGGAGUACGACCGCAAGGUUG